GCAGAUGCAACCUGCUACGCUGGAGUGCCACAAACCCCACUACCGCCCCUACCCUCCCUGUCCAGCCAAGCCACGCCACCCGGGCCCGCCCCCAGGACACGGAGUUUAAGGACCGCGUCUCCCGAGAUGCCAGAGGGACCUGCGUCCGCACUGCCCCAGUGUGACCCGCAUACCUACCGGCCCCGACCCCGAACCGCGUGGCGUCCGCCCGAGCCCUGGCGCUGCUGGGUCUCCUGCUGCUGCCGCUGCUCGCAGAGCCCAGGAAACUCUGCCCGCAGCUUAUGACGGUCAUUAACCAGUUUCUGACCAAGGACAAGGACACCUACAUGGACACUGUCAACAGAUACCACCUCACGGAGCCGGAAAGAAACACAUCCUCUAAACUCAAGGACUGCGUGACCGACACAAUGACCCCCGAGGAGACAGAGGCCGUCGUGCAGCAACUGGCACCUCGGGUUCCUGUCCAGGCUGCCUGUCCCAACCAUGAGAAUCUGGGCCCAGGGCCCCACCCUCCCUAGCUCCCGCCCUGCUGCUGCCUCUACUCUCUCUCCUGCUGUGCUGAUUGGGGCAAGCCUGGGAACGGCUGCCCCCCACCUCCCCACCCAGGCCUGUCCCCUGCGGGACAAUGCUGCCUAAUAAACUCACCUGCAUCCAUCCAG
ensembl:lncRNA SCGB1B2P secretoglobin family 1B member 2, pseudogene